rnacentral:rRNA from 1 species
UACAGAGGGUGCAAGCGUUGUUCGGAAUUAUUGGGCGUAAAGGGCGCGUAGGCGGUGCGGUAAGUCUGUAGUGAAAUCUCUGGGCUCAACUCAGAGUCUGCUGCAGAAACUGCCGUGCUUGAGUGUGGGAGAGGUGAGUGGAAUUCCUGGUGUAGCGGUGAAAUGCGUAGAUAUCAGGAGGAACACCUGUGGCGAAAGCGGCGCACUGGACCACAACUGACGCUGAGGCGCGAAAGCUAGGGGAGCAAACAGG